GUUUAAGAGACAACCUGGAGAACUGAAACAUCUAGGUAACCAGAGGAAAAGAAAUCAAUUGAGAUUCCGUUAGUAGUGGCGAGCGAACGCGGACUAGGCCAGUAGUUUUGUUAAAAAAAUUUGAAUAGUUUGGAAAUGCUAACCAUAGAGGGUGAUAGUCCCGUAUGAGUAAUGUUUAACAAAAUUCUUGAGUAAAGCGGGACACGAGAAAUCCUGCUCGAAUAUAGGGGGACCACCCUCUAAGCCUAAAUACUCUUCAGUGACCGAUAGUGAACUAGUACCGUGAGGGAAAGGUGAAAAGAACCCCUAUUAGGGGAGUGAAAUAGAACCUGAAACUGCAUGCCUACAAUCAGUCGAAGCUCUUUUUAGAGUGACGGCGUACCUUUUGUAUAAUGGGUCAGUGACUUAAUUUAUUAAGCAAGCUUAAGCCAUCUAGGUGUAGGCGCAGCGAAAGCAAGUCUUAAUAGGGCGAUUAGUUUAAUGAAUUAGACCCGAAAACGAAUGAGCUUACCAUGAGCAGGUUGAAAGUUGGGUAACACCAACCGGAGGACCGAACCAGUUGACGUUGAAAAGUCUUUGGAUGACUUGUGGUAAGGGGUGAAAGGCCAACCAAAUUCGUAGAUAGCUGGUUUUCCGCGAAAACUAUUUAGGUAGUGCGUUGAAUAAAUAGAUGUUUAGAGGUAGAGCACUAAAUGGGCUAGGGGGAAGAGAUUCUUACCAAACCUAAUAAAACUCCGAAUGCUAGACAUUGU
rnacentral:rRNA from 1 species